CCCACGCGCUGUGCCCCACCUCGGCGUCCCCUGCGCGUUCCCGCGGAGGAAUGCGUUCCCCGGCGCUGAGGGCACGGCCGGGCCCGGGACUACAACUCCCAGCGUGCCCCGCGCCGCCGGCAUCCAGCUCCCGGCGUGCCCCGCGCCGUGCCCGUGCGGGCGGUGCGCGCGGGAGGCGGCGGCCCUGGCGGAGCAGCGCUGUUCCCCCUCGGGGCGCAUCGCGCCGCCGGCGCAGCGGAGGGCUCUCGGCGGCGCCCGGCGGAGCGGCGGUGCCGCUUUCAGAUCCCCGGUGGGCCGCCCUCCCGCCCCGUUAGCGGCCCCACCACCCCUCAGAGCGGGCGGAGAAGCGCCGUGCGAUGACGUGGAAGCGCUGAAGGAGAAGGACCGCGCUCUGGACCGGGAGAUCGCGCAGCUGCUGUCCGAAGGGUACAGCGUGGAGGAGUUGGAGAAGCACAUCUCUCUGCUCCAUGAGUACAACGAAAUUAAAGAUGCUGGACAGAUGCUGCUGGGCAAACUGGCUGUUAUCCGAGGGGUUACUACGAAGCAGCUGUACCCUGAGUAUGACCUGGAGCUUAAUGACUAACAUGGGACCUGCAGGCUGCCGUGACCUGCAGACAUGACUGUUACAGGGCUGUUGUGUUGUGGUGUUGUACCUGUUUGGAGCCAACAGAAGCAGCAAAUAUGCUGAAUUUCAGGAGAUUUUGUUAGCAGCCACGUUUCUCAGCAGCUUUGGAAUGUGCAAGUUGUGGAUGAGAUCAGCUCAUUCCUGUUUGCGGGAAAGGGAUGUUGGGGCUGUGGACUUGGGAUGCUUUCAGUUUGCUCUGCUACCUGAGAAACACUGUUUCUAAUUGUUAUUUUCUAAUUUGAAUGGUUGUAAUCUGAGGUUGGUGCUGAAACUCUUCUCAAUGAGCCUUUGCUUCUCUGCAGCAUCCAGGCUCUGCCUGGGUGUGUUAACCUGCAGGUGGAGCAGCCUCUGAAUGGAUGGAGGAAGUCAGGGCACACCGUGUGAUGUGACAGCUGCUGGGUCAGGGAAGCCAUCAGGAGAAGAGAGGAAGGCUGAAGUUGUGAUGGUGGUUUGGUUUGAUUGGAUCUGGAGGGGUUUGAGUGCUCAGCAAUUUUGUACUUAACUGCUGUAAUGUCCAGAGGUUUUGUAUCAUUUCUGUGGUGAACAGAACAUUGUGUUGAACUGUCUGACCCGAAUUAAAGCAGCUACUGCAUCCCUCAGUAAUUCACUUUGA